UAUCAGAUAUGUUGUCAAUAGAAUUACCUGAGAUAUAUAAGAGUAAAUCAUCUGCAUAUUGGAGUGAGUUAACUUUACCCUUAAGGGAGGCUUCCAGAUCAUGAGAAUAUAUAUUGUAAAGUAAGGGACUCAAAACUGAUCCCUGUGGUAAACCUUUCCAGGCAAUACGGGAUUGAAUUAUAAGGUUGACAUUAUCAUAGGCUGCAGACACAUCUAAGAAUGCUGCUAUCACAGGCUUGUUGUAUGAAAAUGCCAAUCUUAAGUCUGUCAUAAAUAUACUGAGACUAUCCAUAGUACCCCUGCCUUUCCUAAAUCCAAACUGGUUUGGAGAUAAUAACCCGUUACUCUCAAUAAACCAUUCUAACCUAUUUUUAACUAAAUGUUCAGAAAUUUUGGAUAUAACUGAAGCUAAUGCAAUUGGUCUGUAUGAUGAUGGAUCAUUAAUCGGUUUGUUAGGCUUAUGUAUUAGGAUAACUUCGUGGAUUUUCCAUGAUGGAGGAAUAUUACCUGAUGUUAAAAUUGAAUUAAUUAAACUGAGAAAAUAAGAAAGGCUGGAGUCAUUUAGGUUUUGAAGAAAAGAAUAUGGAAUUCCAUCACAACCUGGGGCUGAGUCCCUAAGUUUUGAAAGAACCCCUUUGAGUUCUGAAAGGCUAAACGAAAUGAGUGAAUCACUACUUCUGUGCUGGGAGAGGAAAGAAGGCUGUGAGUGAAAAGAAAUAUUAUCUAUAAAUGGCACAUAUGGUGGAGCUAAUUUGUCUAGAAACAAAUCAACUGUACUGCUAUCCAUAAAAUGAGAUCUAGGAGGUUUAAAGGCAGAUCUGAAUCUCCGAAUAUUUUGCCAAACUUCCGAUGGAGAAAUGUCUGGUGAAAUUGAGGCACAAAAAGAUUUCCAGCCUUUGAAUUUUUUUUGCUUUAAUAAUUUACGUGUUUUAGUUAUAAGAUUACUAAGAAUAUUAAAAUUUUGUGUUGUAGAAUUUUCUCUGUAAUUCCUUUCAGAUUUCUUUCUCUCCGCUACAGCCGCAGAACACUCACUGUCCCACCAAGGUGGUGAUGGAAUAUACCCAUUGCCACUUUUAUUUUUAAUUGGAAAAACUUCCUCAGCAGCCUGUAAUAGGGCUUGUGUUAAAGCUUCAGCACAAAAAUGAUUAUUGCUGUCAUUUACUGGAGACUUCGUGCUAUCCGAACAGUCUGUAUCGAUAAUGGAACCUUCCGUUUCCAUUCCAGACGCAUCGAUUGUAACUACAUGAGACACCUGGAGGGAUGUCCCUCCAGGGUCUUCGGGCUCCAUCAUGGACGACAAGAGAAAAAUUCUUAUCUACAUAUAAUAAAAUAAAAUAACUUACCAGGCUAUUAAGACAAACUAAAAAUAUAAAUAAUCAACAAUAACUACUACUAUAUACACCUUAUAACUUAACUGAUCCUGUAUUUUUUAUUUUAAUUUAAUUUUCAAAAGUUAAGCCAAAAAAAAGACGCCCGCCUAUUUUUACACUUCCCGCG